GCCUGUCCUGACCCCAAGCCUCCCUGCUGUUCUGUACCUGCCUGACUUUGACCCGUUUAAGAACCUCUGCCUGUCCUGACCCCAAGCCUCCCUGCUGUUCUGUACCUUAUUGACUCUGCCCUGGAUUACGGACCUCUUUUGCCUGCUCCCUGUUUGGGUCAAUAAACAUCUGUGACUCUAGCUGUCUGCAUCUGGGUCUUAUCCUGAGUUCUGAUAGUCCCACAGUUGACAAUGCAUGUCAGAACAAAGUCAUGAGGACACAGGAAUUGUCCGUAGAGCACAGAGACAGGAUCGUGUCGAGGCACAGAUCUGGGGAAGAGUUCCAAAACAUUUCUGCAGCAUUGACGGUCCCCAAGAACACAGCCCGCUUGGAGUUUGCCAAAAGGCACCUAAAGACUCUCAGACCAUGAGAAACAAGAUACUCUGGUCUGAUGAAUACAAGAUUGAACUCUUUGGCCUGAAUGCUAAGCGUCAUGUCUGGAAUAAACCUGGCACCAUCCCUACGGUGAGCCUGGUGGGGGCAGUGUGAGCAUGGUGAGGGCAGCAUCUUGCUGUGGGGAAGUUUUUCAGCAGCAGGGACUGGGAGACUAGUUAGGAUCUAGGCAAAGAUGAACAGAACAAAGUACAAAGAGAUCCUUGAUGAAAACCUGCUCCAGAGUCCUCAGGACCGCCGACUGGGGCGAAGGUUCACCUUCCAACAGGACAACAGCCCUAAGCACACAGCCAAGAUGACACAGGAGUGGCUUCAUGACAAGUCUCUGAAUGUCCUUGAGUGGCCCAGCCAGAGCCUGUAUUUGAACACGAUCAUACAUCUCUGGAGAAACCUUAAAAUAGCUGUGCAGCAACGGUCCCCAUCCAACCUGACAGAGCUUGAGAGGAUCUGCAGAGAAGAAUGGGAGAAACUCCCAAAAUACAGGUGUGCCAAGCUUGUGUGUCAUACCCAAGAAGACUCGAGGCUGUAAUUGCUGCCAAAGGUGCUUCAACAAAGUACUGAGUAAAGGGUCUGAAUACUUAUAUAAAUGUGAUAUUUCAGUCCUUUUUUUUUUGCUAAAAAAAUCUAAAAACCUGUUUUUUCUUUGUCAUAAUGGGGUAAUGUGUGUAGAUUGAUGAGGGGGGAAACUAUUUAAUCAAUUCUAGAAUAAGGCUGUAAUGUAACAAAAUGUAGAAAAGUUGAGGGGUCUGAAUACUUUCGAAUGCACUGUAUGGUCAUUGAUCAACUUCAAUAUUGCCCCUUGACACAUUCAAAUGUAAAGAUAAAGUAAAAUAGUUGAGGCAGCUUUUAUUUUUGCAAAUACGUUCACUUUAUUUGUAUUUUUUACCACAAAAUAAUGAAAUAUGCAGCAUCCCUUAAUUUUUACAUUAAAAAUAGUUAUUACAAUCAAUGAUAUGAGCAUUAUAUGGAUACAAGUAUGAAGUUGCAGUGCAAAGGCUUACAAAAUCUUGAGCAAAAUCAAAUAUAUUACUUUAAAAUUCUUUACCCUAAAUUACAGAGGUGCAAAUGAUCCCUUUGGGCCUCAACCAAUAUCCACAUAAAAUUAGUUCAAACAUAUUUCAUUUAGAUCUAAUAAAACUAUUCAAAAUAAAAAAUCCACCUUGUAUAAACUCACCUUUCCAUGUUAAGACUCCUCCUUACCUGUCCACAAAUAAAAUAUAGGUGAUCAACUAAAUCCUCCGGUCUUUUUACUGACCCUUAUUCCAAUCACAGAGGAGGCUUUACCUCUUCUCUGUGUCUGGUCAGGUCUGGUCAGGUUUGGUCUGGUCAUUAUGCUGGUCAGGUCAGGUCUGGUCAGGUAUGGUCAUUAUGCUGGUCAGGUCAGGUCAGGUCUGGUCAGGUCAGGUCAGGUCUGGUCAGGUCUGGUCAGGUCAGGUCAGGUCAGGUCUGGUCAGGUCAGGUCUGGUCAGGACAUCAUGCUGGUCUGGUCUGGACAUUAUGCUGGUCAGGUCUGGUCAGGUCUGGUCAGGACAUUAUGCUGGUCGGGUCAGGACAUUAUGCUGGCCAGGUCUGGUCAGGACAUUAUGCUGGUCGGGUCAGGACAUUAUGCUGGCCAGGUCUGGUCAGGACAUUAUGCUGGUCAGGUCUGGUCAGGUCAGGUCAGGUCUGGUCAGGACAUUAUGCUGGUCAGGUCAGGUCUGGUCUGGUCAGGUCUGGUCAGGUCAGGUCUGGUCAGGUUUGGUCAGGACAUUAUGUUGGUCAGGUCUGGUCAGGACAUUAUGCUGGUCAGGUCUGGUCUGGUCAGGUCAGGUCUGGUCAGGUCUGGCCAAGUCUGGUCUGGUCAGGUCUGGUCAGGACAUUAUGCUGGUCAGGUCUGGUCAGGACAUUAGGCUGGUCUGGUCUGGUCAGGUCAGGUCAGGUCAGGUCAGGUCAGGUCAGGUCAGGUCAGGUCUGGAUCUGGUCAGGUCAGGACAUUAUGCUGGUCUGGUCAGGGCAGGUCUGGUUAGGUCUGGACAGGUCAGGUCAGGUCAGGACAUUAUGCAGGUCUGGUCAGUUCUGGUCAGGUCUGGUCAGGUCUGGUCAGGACAUUGAUGCUUGAUCCUUUCACUGCAUUGCCAUUGUAGCCUCAGCAUCUGAAAAUACACAAGACAACAGAAUAAUCUGAUUAGGACAUAGAACAUUUCUACAUGGACAGUAAACCUGUUCAAAUCCAGACAUCUAAAACAUCAGCACGCGUUGAUUGGCAGUGCCCUCUGAUCAUGUACACACGUGCAGUGUGACGUUGUGUGUGUGUCAUCUCCCCUCCCAGCAACGUUUUGCUGUUGUUGUUUACUACCAGUUGUGUGUGUAUGUGUGUGUGUGUGUAUCAGUCAUCUGUAUCAGUGUUUAGGGUGACCCCUGAGCUUGCCAACAGUUAGGGGUCAAGGGUCAGAGUAGGGACUGUCUGGGCGCACCGGCUGACCCCCAGCACCUGCAGCCUAUAGGGGGAGGGGAACCCUCAUCACCCGGACCAGGCUGAUAACACCUCUGGGAUUAGGAUCCAGACACAAACACACUGACCCCACUCCUUGCUCCCAAACACACACACACGUCAUAGACAUUGGUCCCUGCUUGGUCAUAAACUGAUGUCACGAUCGCUUAGGCUGCAUAACGCAGGUUAGGUCUGGUCUGGUCUGGUCAGGAAGGAGGAAGGGAGGGAGGAUGCUGAGUCUGGGACUGUCACCUAAUUAUCAUUCUUCUCUGAGAUGAGACUGCAUGGGGGGUUCUGUCAGGGCUUUUAACCAUUAGUAGACAUGAUCUGAUGUAACACCAUUGAAGAUCUCUGACAGUUAUGCGAUUUCUUUGUGCAAAUGUAGAUGAUACAUAUAUACAUAUCUGGUUAGAUCUCUAACAACAAGAGAGCCUAGGACCAAACGAUACAGUACAUCAUUAUUACAGACUCACCAGACCCUGUGACCCUCUUAUCAUAACAACCAAGGAGAAAGAAACUGCUCUUCAGGAGGAAACGGCACUAACAGGGAACUGAGCUGACCACAACCCUAAAUAGUCCUGUUGUGUUAAUACCACUCCUCCUUGCUUUUACUGGGGUCUAGAGAGGAGGUCCUACCAGGAUUUCCUUCCAAACAGACAUCAACAAUAACCUGUCUGCUCUGGCCUGGCCUGGCCUGGCCUGACCUGGUCUUGUCUGGCUUGGCCUGGUCUUGUCUGGCUUGGCCUGGUCUGGCCUGGUGGAGCGGGAGGCUUGGCUGAUUUAUCAGGGUAUUUUACUGGGGAGACUAUUGGGGGCUGCGGAGACACUGGGGGUGGGGAGACAUGGGGAAGGGGACAGGGGAGAGAGAGGGGAAUGACAGGUGGCAGGAGAGGGAGAGGGGAAUGACAGGGGGCAGGGGAGGGAGAGGGGAAUGACAGG
ensembl:lncRNA